rnacentral:rRNA from 1 species
GUACACACCGCCCGUCACACCAUGGGAGUUGGCUUUACCCGAAGGCGYUKCGCYAACCGCAAGGAGGCAGGCGWCCACGGUMGGGUCARYGACUGGGGUGAAGUCGUAACAAGGUAGCCGUAGGUGAACCUGCAGAAGGAUCA